rnacentral:lncRNA from 1 species
AUUAUUUCAUAUCGGUUAAGAAUAAGCUUCUCCUAUUGAAUAAAAAGAGGCCACAUGACAUUCAUUAUUCUUCAGUAAUACAUUCAAUCGGUCAUUAACAGAACAAAACGGACCAGAAAACCGGUCGUUAACGAACUUUUGACAUGAUAAUGACCGAUGGGGCGUGGUCUCCGUCUGAUAAUGACCGUUGGGGCGUGGUUUCUCUGUUAAUGACCGGUGGGGCGUGGCGUCUCGGUUUAGGGAGAUGUCCCUUUUAUAAAACAUUUUCCUGUUUUCAAUAUUAUAUUUAAGUUGUUGAAUUGUUUACUAUAUGUUUUCGUUAAUUAUAAAAUUAUAAAGAACUUGAUUAAGUAUUUAUAUACUGAAAAAUAGUACUAACAGAAUGGCAGUAUUACUACGACU